GAGCGGCAGCAGGUCCUUCGGGAUGCUGGCGAGCGGCGGACGGGUGAGUAACACGUGGGAAUCUGCCCAUCGGUGGGGGAUAGCCCGAGGAAACUCGGAUUAAUACCGCAUACGCCCUACGGGGCAAAGUAGACCUCUGAUUUAAGUUUACGCCGAUGGAUGAGCCCGCGGCCGAUUAGCUAGUUGGUGGGGUAAAGGCCUACCAAGGCAACGAUCGGUAGCUGGUCUGAGAGGACGAUCAGUCACACCGGAACUGAGACACGGUCCGGACUCCUACGGGAGGCAGCAGUGGGGAAUAUUGGACAAUGGGCGAAAGCCUGAUCCAGCAAUGCCGCGUGGGUGAAGAAGGCUUGAGGGUUGUAAAGCCCUUUCAGCAGGGAGGAAAAGCGUACGGUUAAUACCCGGGCGUCUUGACGUUACCUGCAGAAGAAGCACCGGCUAACUCCGUGCCA
rnacentral:rRNA from 1 species